AUUCUAUAAUGCCUAAUAUUAUUUUACAAAGUAAAAGCAGACUUUUCAUGAAUCUUUUGUUAAAAUUGGGAAAACAGUGACCCUAAAAAGAAUCUCAAGCAACAUCCAGAUCCAGUACCUGCAUGAAAAAGGACCAGUUUAUGGGAUGUUUGUCUUUUUAUUCAACGCGGACACAUUUUGAUUCGGAAUUGUUUUGAAUUUUGAGGUUUGACGACUUCACACAGCUGCUUUUUCUCCAAAUAAAAAGAGACAAAAAAAAAGUGCAAUUAUCACUUUCUCCCUGCCUUUUGCAGAUGUCUGGGAAGAUGUGUGUGCCACCAUUAUUUGUUUAUGUUGGGAAGAAGGCUCCUUUCUCUCUCUCUCUCUCUCUCUCUCUUGCAUGUCUUCCCUUGAGUUAAAGAAUGAGGCCGACAGCUGCCAACUGUGCCCCCCAGAGCUGCCCGGCUGAUGCAGCGCGGCCUCGACCCGCUCCUCUCCUCUGCAGCUCGGCUACACCUGAAGCAGCACUGUGAAGAAGAACCAGUGCAGGAAUGCUUUCAGGUGGACUCGCCUACCGCAGAAGGGCCUGGGUCAGCAUCCCAGAGGCUGGAGAGCCUGGACCUCAGAGGACCUUCUGACAUGUGUUGGAACAAGAAUGAAAAGUAUUCUGGUUGAGUGGGGGCACUGGGCUGAAACAGGAAGUGGGUUUGCAUUCUAACUGGGACAGAGAGCCGUCAGCUUGACCAAAAUAAGAAGAGUAAACAGCAAUGGGUCCACAGGGAACUCUGCUGCUGCUGCUGCUGCUGCU